rnacentral:tRNA from 1 species
GUGGGUAUAGUUCAGUGGCAGAGUGCAUGCUUGUCAUGCUCAAGGUCCUGGGUUCAAUCCCCAGCACCUCCA